AACGAACGCUGGCGGCGUGCCUAACACAUGCAAGUCGUGCGAGAAAGUUCCUUCGGGAGCGAGUAAAGCGGCGCACGGGUGAGUAACACGUAGGUAACCUGCCCCCCAGUCUGGAACAACUAGAGGAAACUCUAGCUAAUGCCGGAUGAGACCACGAUCCCUUCGGGGGUUGCGGCCAAAGAUGGCCUCUACUUGUAAGCUAUCGCUGAGGGAUGGGCCUGCGGGCCAUUAGCUUGUUGGUGAGGUAACGGCUCACCAAGGCUGUGAUGGCUAGCUGGUCUGAGAGGAUGACCAGCCACACUGGGACUGAGACACGGCCCAGACUCCUACGGGAGGCAGCAGUGGGGAUAUUGGCGCAAAUGGGCGAAAGCCUGACGCAGCGACGCCGCGUGGGUGAUGAAGGCCU
rnacentral:rRNA from 1 species